GACGUAGGGUGCAAGCGUUGUCCGGAUUUACUGGGCGUAAAGCGCACGUAGGCGGAUUGUUAAGUUAGGGGUGAAAUCCCAGGGCUCAACCCUGGAACUGCCUUUAAUACUGGCAAUCUCGAGUUCGAGAGAGGUGAGUGGAAUUCCGAGUGUAGAGGUGAAAUUCGUAGAUAUUCGGAGGAACACCAGUGGCGAAGGCGGCUCACUGGCUCGGUACUGACGCUGAGGUGCGAAAGCGUGGGGAGCAAACAGG
rnacentral:rRNA from 1 species